rnacentral:rRNA from 1 species
UACAGAGGGGGCAAGCGUUGUUCGGAUUUACUGGGCGUAAAGGGCGCGUAGGCGGUCAGCACAAGUCAGUUGUGAAAUCUCCGGGCUUAACUCGGAAAGGUCAACUGAUACUGUGCGACUAGAGUGCAGAAGGGGCAACUGGAAUUCUCGGUGUAGCGGUGAAAUGCGUAGAUAUCAGGAGGAACGCCGGUGGCGAAAGCGACUCUCUGGUCCGCAACUGACGCUGAGGCGCGAAAGCCAGGGGAGCAAACGGG